GGGCCCGUAGCUCAGCCUGGAUAGAGCGCUGGCCUGCGGAGCCGGAGGUCCGGGGUUCAAAUCCCCGCGGGCCCGCCA
rnacentral:tRNA from 1 species